rnacentral:tRNA from 1 species
GCAGGUGUGGCGGAACGGCAGACGCGCAUGGUUUAGGACCAUGUGGGCAUUAGCCCGUGGGGGUUCAAAUCCCUUCACCUGCA